rnacentral:rRNA from 1 species
CAGGCCUAACACAUGCAAGUCGAACGGUGGUCGCAAGACCAUAGUGGCGCACGGGUGCGUAACGCGUAGCCAACCUACCCGAAUCUGGGGGAUAGCCCGCCGAAAGGCGGAUUAAUACCGCAUAAUACUUGUUCCUGGCAUCAGGAGUUAGUUAAAGAUUUAUUGGAUUCGGAUGGGGCUGCGUGCCAUUAGCUGGUUGGGGGGGUAACGGCCCACCAAGGCGACGAUGGCUAGGGGAGCUGAGAGGCUGGUCCCCCACACGGGCACUGAGAUACGGGCCCGACUCCUACGGGAGGCAGCAGUAGGGAAUAUUGGGCAAUGGCCGAGAGGCUGACCCAGCCAUGCCGCGUGCAGGAUGAAGGCUUUCUGAGUCGCAAACUGCUUUUGCCAGGGAAGAAAAAAGGGGAUGCGUCCUCUACUGACGGUACCUGGUGAAUAAGCACCGGCUAACUCCGUGCCAGCAGCCGCGGUAAU